CAGGCCUUUAAGCGGCGUCGCUUCGAAAACACCACACGGUGUCAGUAGCGACCAGCCCACCACCACCACCACCAGCUCGUAUACAUGUGUGUCAGAUCGUCUGCGGCGGCGUUUAAAUGACAAGACAACUCGGGAAAGAGAUAGUGAUGACUGCUUUGGUGACGUUCUUUGCUGCUAUAUUCAUACUUCAGUAUGCAGUACAGCAGACACAUAGCCAGAUGAAGCAGAGAACUGCCAGGCGAGCAAUAUGACAAGAAGAUGGACUCGGACAAG